GGCAAAUAGAAAUUGCAUAGCAAUUGCCUCCAGCCAUGAUGUACAAGAACUGGAUGUUUCUGGAAUUCUGGCCACACAGAUAUAUACUUGGGUGGAUGAUGAUACAGAAACAGAAACCAAGGGAUCAGAAGACUUCUUGGUUAUACAUGCUCGUGAUGAUUUAUCAGCUGUCCAGGGUACAACUCCAUAUACGCACAGCAACCCUGGCACUCCAAUCAACAUGCCAUGGCUUGGAAGUACACAGACGGGCAGAGGAGCAUCUGUGAUGCUUAAGAAAGCCAUUAAUAAUGUUAGAAGAAUGACAUCACAUCCAACUCUUCCUUACUAUCUGACAGGAGCUCAAGAUGGAAGUGUCAGGAUGUUUGAAUGGGGCCAUUCUCAGCAGAUAACCUGUUUUCGAUCUGGUGGCAAUUCAAGAAUUACAAGAAUGAGAUUUAACUAUCAGGGAAAUAAGUUUGGAAUUGUUGAUGCUGAUGGAUAUUUAAGUUUGUACCAAACAAACUGGAAAUGUUGCCCAGUUACUGGGAGCAUGCCUAAGCCGUAUCUGGCUUGGCAGUGCCAUAACAAGACAGCCAAUGAUUUUGUCUUCGUUAGUUCCUCCUCUCUGAUAGCUACAGCUGGUCUUUCAACUGACAACAGAAACAUAUGUCUAUGGGACACACUUGUAGCACCUGCCAAUAGUUUAGUUCAUGCUUUUACCUGCCAUGACAGUGGAGCCACAGUUUUAGCGUAUGCUCCCAAACAUCAACUACUAAUAUCAGGGGGCAGAAAAGGUUUCACAUGUGUAUUUGACCUUCGACAACGACAACAGAGGCAGCUUUUUCAGAGUCAUGAUUCCCCUGUUAAAGCCGUUGCUAUUGAUCCAACUGAAGAGUACUUUGUUACAGGAUCUGCAGAAGGCAAUAUAAAGAUUUGGAGUCUUUCUACCUUUAGUCUUCUCCAUACUUUUAUCAAUGAACAUGCUCGACAGUCUA
rnacentral:lncRNA from 1 species